GACGAACGCUGGCGGCGUGCUUAACACAUGCAAGUCGAACGGAAAGGCCUGUCCUUCCUUGUGUUGGACGGGUACUCGAGUGGCGAACGGGUGAGUAACACGUGAGUGAUCUGCCCCCAACUUGGGUAUAAGCCUGGGAAACUGGGUCUAAUUCCCGAUAGGACUGCAGGGUGGUGCCUGUGGUGGAAAACGAUUUUCUAGUGGUUGGGGAUGAGCUCGCGGCCUAUCAGCUUGUUGGUGGGGUAAUGGCCUACCAAGGCGGCGACGGGUAGCCGGCCUGAGAGGGUGGACGGCCACAUUGGGACUGCGAUACGGCCCAGACUCCUACGGGAGGCAGCAGUGGGGAAUAUUGCACAAUGGGCGGAAGCCUGAUGCAGCGACGCCGCGUGGGGGAUGACGGCCUUCGGGUUGUAAACUCCUUUCGACCGCGAGGAAGCCGCCUGGUUGGAAGGGUGGUGACGGUAGUGGUAGAAGAAGCACCGGCUAACUACGUG
rnacentral:rRNA from 1 species